AACCCCUGUGACAUACCUAUACGUUGCCUCGGCGGAUCAGCCCGCGCCCCGUAAAACGGGACGGCCCGCCCGAGGACCCCUAAACUCUGUUUUUAGUGGAACUUCUGAGUAAAACAAACAAAUAAAUCAAAACUUUCAACAACGGAUCUCUUGGUUCUGGCAUCGAUGAAGAACGCAGCAAAAUGCGAUAAGUAAUGUGAAUUGCAGAAUUCAGUGAAUCAUCGAAUCUUUGAACGCACAUUGCGCCCGCCAGUAUUCUGGCGGGCAUGCCUGUUCGAGCGUCAUUUCAACCCUCAAGCUCAGCUUGGUGUUGGGACUCGCGGUAACCCGCGUUCCCCAAAUCGAUUGGCGGUCACGUCGAGCUUCCAUAGCGUAGUAAUCAUACACCUCGUUACUGGUAAUCGUCGCGGCCACGCCGUAAAACCCCAACUUCUGAAUGUUGACCUCGGAUCAGGUAGGAAUACCCGCUGAACUUCAGC
rnacentral:rRNA from 1 species